CCCAAGCCCAAACAAGCUGGAAUCAUUCCCAAGCGUUUGGAAACCUUGAGCCCAGCAAUAAGCACUCGGCAUUACGCACAAGCUCUCCCUAGUUGGUCUUAAGCCAGAGGACCUCCACACUGGCAGAAGCUGGAUGCCAGAGAGCUCCAUGCACCAGAGGAAACACCAACUGGAUGGUCAAAGAGGGUGGGAACAGAGACAAGCAGGGCUGUGACGGGUCUCGAGGUUCUUCCGGUAAAUGUCUACCUCAUUCCUCUACACAACUGGAUGCUGAUGCCCAGGAAUGACCAUGAAUGAUCAGUCAAAUGUCAACCAGCAAAAGCACCAGCAAAACCCAGAGCUGCUCUCAAUGUGGUGAUUUUCCCAUGGUUCAGCAGCAGGAACAUCUCACACUCCUGGACCGACCAGCCCUGGAUGUUACACACACGUUUCGGUCCACACCACAGCUAUCCCCUCACUCUUCUUCCAGAGCUGGGUAUCUCAAACACUUUGUAAGAGCAAAACAAGAAAAACAAGUCCUGUCCAGAUUAUCUGGUCCUUUCCUCCUUCUCUGGCAAAAAUCUUGAAACCCAGCUGUGUCCCAAGGCCAGCUCUCCAGCUCAGAGCAUGCCAUGACCACGA